CGCGGGGUGGAGCAGUGGUAGCUCGUCAGGCUCAUAACCUGAAGGCCGUACGUUCGAAUCGUGCCCCCGCAACCA
rnacentral:tRNA from 1 species